rnacentral:rRNA from 1 species
AAUGGGCGAAAGCCUGACGGAGCAACGCCGCGUGAGUGAUGAAGGAUUUCGGUUCGUAAAGCUCUGUUGCAGGGGAAAAAGCAAGUGAUUGUACUCUGCGAGAAAGGGACGGCUAACUUCGUGCCAGCAGCCGCGGUAAUACGAAGGUCCCUAGCGUUGUUCGGAAUUAUUGGGCGUAAAGCGCGUGUAGGAGGCUUUUUAAGUCAGGUGUGAAAGCCCCGGGCUCAACCCGGGAAGUGCACUUGAAACUGAAAAGCUUGAGUACGGGAGAGGUGAGUAGAAUUCCUGGUGUAGUGGUGAAAUACGUAGAUAUCAGGAGGAAUACCGGUGGCGAAGGCGGCUCACUGGCCCAGUACUGACUCUGAGACGCGAAAGCAUGGGGAUCAAA